GGGUUAGUAGGUUGGUCAUGCCUCUGGUAUGUACUGAUCUCACUGAUUCCUCCCUUCUGAUGAACCGUUAUACCAUUUAGUUGGUGUUGCGGGGAAUUUGGACUGUUACUUUGAAAAAAUUAGAGUGUUUAAAGCAAGCUAACGCUUGAAUACAUUAGCAUGGAAUAAUGAAAUAGGACGUUCGAUCCUAUUUUGUUGGUUUCUAGGAUUGACGUA
rnacentral:rRNA from 1 species